CCUACGGGAUGCAGCAGUGGGGAAUAUUGGGCAAUGGGCGCAAGCCUGACCCAGCAACGCCGCGUGAAGGAAGAAGGCUUUCGGGUUGUAAACUUCUUUUGUCAGGGACGAAGCAAGUGACGGUACCUGCCGAAUAAGCCACGGCUAACGACGUGCCAGCAGCCGCGGUAAUACGUCGGUGGCAAGCGUUAUCCGGAUUUACUGGGUGUAAAGGGCGUGUAGGCGGGGAAGCAAGUCAGAUGUGAAAACCACGGGCUCAACCUGUGGCCUGCAUUUGACACUGUUUUUCUUGAGUGCUGUAGAGGCAAUCGGAAUUCCGGGUGUAGCGGUGAAAUGCGUAGAUAUACGGAGGAACACCAGUGGCGAAGGCGGAUUGCUGGACAGUAACUGACGCUGAGGCGCGAAAGCGUGGGGAGCAAACAGGAUUAGAUACCCCUGUAGUC
rnacentral:rRNA from 1 species